UGGGGAAUUUUGGACAAUGGGGGAAACCCUGAUCCAGCCAUCCCGCGUGUGCGAUGAAGGCCUUCGGGUUGUAAAGCACUUUUGGCAGGAAAGAAACGUCGCGGGUUAAUACCCCGCGAAACUGACGGUACCUGCAGAAUAAGCACCGGCUAACUACGUGCCAGCAGCCGCGGUAAUACGUAGGGUGCAAGCGUUAAUCGGAAUUACUGGGCGUAAAGCGUGCGCAGGCGGUUCGGAAAGAAAGAUGUGAAAUCCCAGAGCUUAACUUUGGAACUGCAUUUUUAACUACCGGGCUAGAGUGUGUCAGAGGGAGGUGGAAUUCCGCGUGUAGCAGUGAAAUGCGUAGAUAUGCGGAGGAACACCGAUGGCGAAGGCAGCCUCCUGGGAUAACACUGACGCUCAUGCACGAAAAGCGUGGGGAGCAAACAGGAUUAGAUACCCUGGUAGUCCACGCCCUAAAACGAUGUCAAACUAGCUGUUGGGGGCCUUCGGGCCUUGGUAGCGCAGCUAACGCGUGAAGUUGACCGCCUGGGGAGUACGGUCGCAAGAUUAAAAACUU
rnacentral:rRNA from 1 species